rnacentral:rRNA from 1 species
UAUUGGUCAAUGGUCGGGAGACUGAACCAGCCAAGCCGCGUGAGGGAUGAAGGUACAGAGUAUCGUAAACCUCUUUUGUCAGGGAACAAAGGCGGGGACGCGUCCCCGGAUGAGUGUACCUGAAGAAAAAGCAUCGGCUAACUCCGUGCUAGCAGCCGCGGUAAUACGGAGGAUGCGAGCGUUAUCCGGAUUUAUUGGGUUUAAAGGGUGCGUAGGUUGUUUUUUAAGUCAGCGGUGAAAGUUUGUGGCUCAACCAUAAAAUUGCCGUUGAAACUGGAAGACUUGAGUGUGUUUGAGGUAGGCGGAAUGCGUGGUGUAGCGGUGAAAUGCAUAGAUAUCACGCAGAACUCCGAUUGCGAAGGCAGCUUACUAAGCCAUAACUGACACUGAAGCACGAAAGCGUGGGGAUCA